AACCGGUGGUUUUCUGCACACAGCCGAAGGUGUAGCCGCGAACCGAGUCGGUGGCCAGGGUGAUGUUGUCCUGUGCUAGACCGGCCGAGAUCGAGGAGCUGCCGUAUGUGGUGUUGAACCCGCACGACUUGCCGCCGCAACUCGGGUUAGGGACCUAUAUGCAAAUAGUAAUAAAUAAUUUAUUUUAUGUCAGCUUUAUUUGAAUUAUUAAAUUAAAUUUUGUCACGGGCAUAAUAUUCUGACAAGAAACCUGGGCGCAUUGGGGGGAGCCGCAGCGGAGGGGCUUGAAGGAGGAGGACUUGGCGGGGUCGAAGGUGGCGGCGGAGCAACCGAUGCAGGCGGUGCAUGGGAUCCAGGCGACGUCGUUGCUGGUGUCGAGGGCGACGAGCAGCUGCUGAGCGGGGGUGCCGAUCUUGACGCGGAC
rnacentral:lncRNA from 1 species